CAACCCUCAAGCCCCCGGGCUUGGUGUUGGGGAUCGGCACAAGGCGCUGGCACCUCCGGGAGCCGCGCCCGCCGUCCCCCAAAUUCAGUGGCGGUUCACGCCGUGUGUACCUCAGCGUAGUAGCAACACCUCGCUCCGGGACCCUCCUGUGAACCACGCCGUAAAACCCCCGACUUUUUUCU
rnacentral:misc_RNA from 1 species